UUUUAUGCAAAUCUCCCUCUCUACUCCCUAAAUAUCUCCCACCCUUCCCUCUAUAUUAUUUCUUUUCCAAAAACCGUUCUCUCUAUCUCUGCAAUGAAGAAGACAAGGUUUUUCCUCUCAACCUUAAUUCAAGAAACCGAGAACCCAACUCGACAAGGGGAAACUACCGUUCAUUCGCUCAGAAUUUGCUCAAAAUCCGUUCAAGGGUACGUCCGCAAGUAAAGUCGGAACGAAUGAUUCAAGUAAAAGGAACUAAAUGAUCCAGGUUGAGCAGCGAAGUAGUGGAGGAAGUGCUAUUGAGACAAGAUACUUAAUUCAGUCAGAUUUUG